CAUGUCCAUAAUUGCCUACAUUGAGGCGGGAGACCAGACAGCUUUUUUUCCCGCUCAACUGGAUCGGACUGGACAUUUGACAGGACACGAUCCAAGUAUGAGUAACCGGCAUUCACAUCACAUCAUGUUGCUCAAAGUGAGGUUUGGUGAAAGUCAGAAGUAUGUUAAAGUGGCCAAAAUCUGAAGAGGGCUAUGAAGACUACAAUACAUUUCUUCAGAAAGUCAUAGAAAAGUUGGGUCUUCCAAUACAGACAGAGCUGUAUGUCACAGAUGAAUCGGGGACAGAAGUGGAUGCGGAUGUGUUUGAGGAGCUUUUUACAAGCAGGGACAGUCCAUCCACUUGAAUGUGGAAAAAUGCCUGGAAACCUUGA